rnacentral:tRNA from 41 species
GGGCGGUUAGCUCAGUUGGUAGAGCAUCUCGUUUACACCGAGGGGGUCAAAGGUUCGAGUCCUUUACUGCCCACCA